CGUGCAGAAAUUAAGUAGCCUUAAGUUGAAUACUGGAAUGUUGUUUGUACUUUGAACAUGUGUUUCUCCUCAAGGGGAAACUUGUUUUGAAAGAAAAUCAUUCUCCAUGCUGUUUUCAGGAUAUAAUUGAAUUCAGUAAAGACAGCCAAAACUUAGAGGGUCAAUGAAUGGAGGAGGAUUAUUUGUGUUUAUUUUUAAACUAAACAUGGUAUGAAUAUUCAGUGUUUAGCUAGCUUAGCUCUCUCUAUUAUGGACGGGAGUUCAUAGUCUUCACAUAUACCAACAACAACCAAUUUAACUCAGAUCUAAAAUAGGUGUGAACUAGUUCUGAUUUUUGCUUUUGUUUUUUUAAUCAUAGGUACCACCUGUGAUAAAGGAGAGGUUUGCAAACCCUAUCAAAUUUUAAGGCCUGUAAUGCCAUAAUUGCCUUAUCAAUGCUUAGAAUUUUCUUACUUUAGUGAGUUCUAUAAUUGCAUUACUAAAUGCUUAGAAUUUUCUUACUUUAGUGCUUGAAUUUAUAUUCUCCACUUUGAUAUCUGCAAACCUCCCUCCCUCGGUUUUGCAGGUCUUUUUUCAAAUGUCAGCUUAUUAGGGAGAGCUUCUCUGAUUUCCCUUAGAAACCAACUGAUUAUUCCUUCCUCUUUGCUUGGUUUUUCUUCUGUGACAUUCAUAGAAGUGCAUGGUAGUGCACAGUUAAAUAUUUGCUUUUAAAAUACAUAUUCUAUAAAUAUUUGAAUAAAUAUUAUUAUUGAAUAACUAAUCAUGGAUAUAUACAAGUUUUUUCAGCAUAUCAAUGACUCAUAUAGUUGAAUACCUGAAGCUGCCAGUUAGGAGGCUAUUAGAAUAAUCCAGGUAAGAGAUAGAAUGGCUUGAACUUGGAUGGUAGCAGUGGAGAAUGAGAAUGGGAGAGAAGGUAAUGUUUGAUUAUAGAGGAGAAAGUAUGAAUUAAUGCUGGAGAAAAAGUAUGAGAAUAAUUGAAAUAAGAAACAGUAUGAUUACUAGGCAGCAUUAGAAGCUCAUUUGAAGUUUACUGUAAUUAAUUUAAAAUGAGAACAAUUAGCACAGCCAUUUGUAUUUUCAUUUUCUAUGACCUAUUUUUUGACCAUAUUUAUUUGGGGUUCUUAGUCUUUUUGCUACUGGUUUGUAGGAGUUCUUCAUAUGUUAGUGAAAUAAGCCCUGUGCCUACCAUGAUUUGCAAAGAAUUUCCAUUUUGUCAUUUGUCUUUUGACUUUGAUUUUUUUUUCCAAAUAAGGUAUUUGAUUUUGUUCAUGUUAUAAAUGGUAACUAAUUUUUAACCUCCUAACUGGUUAUUGUUGGUGUAUAUGAAGGCUAAAACUUUCUCAGGUACCUUACAAAACUCUCACUGUUUUUUUAAUAGUUACUCCACUGUUUCUCCUCCAUCUUCCCAGGUUCAGAAUUAUACCUUCUUCAGAUAAUGAUCAUUUUACUUGCUCCUAAUUUUUGUAACUCUAUUUCUCUUACCUAAGUAGAAUGGCUAGUACCUCCAAUACAACAUAAAAUAAUAACACUGAAAGUGGACCUCUUUGUCUGUUCCUGACAUUAAUGGAAAUGCUUUUUAGUGCUUUCACUUAAGCAUGAAGUUGACUUUUAGAUUUAGAAAAAUAUGUUUUAUGAAAUUAUGAUCUAUUCCUCUUACUAAAACAUAUUUUUUUAAUCAAUAAUGGAUGUUGAGUUUUAACACAUGCCUUUUAAGCAUUUUUGAAAAUUACUAGGUGAUUUUUCUCUUUUGUUCUUUAAAGAUUUAGUGGAAUAAUUCUAAAAAAAACAUUUCUGCCUGGUGUGUUUCUCUAUUUUUUCUAUAUUAAUUUAUCUACUUAGAUUUUCACCUGAACUCAAUUUUAUAUUUAUCUUAAAAAGUAACUUUUUCAGGAAUUACCUGGCGGUCCAGUGGUUAGGACUCGGUGCUGUCACUGCAGGGCCCCGGCUUCGAUCUCUGGCUGGGGAACUAAGAUCUGCAAGCCACACAGUGUGGCCCCCCGCAAAAAAAUUAACCAUUUCCUCCAUGAUAUAUAUUUUAUUUGCAGAGCUAAACAAUGUAAUCUCUUGAUUUUUAAAAUUACCUCUACAAAUUUGGGUGAGUUCAGUCUUUUGUUUUAUUUUGUGUAUUUAUGUUUUAUACUUUUUUCUAGAUUAGUUGGUUAAUGGUUUACCUAAGUAAGGUAUUCAGUUUUUUCUUUGUGUGGUCUUUUAGCCGUAUACCAAAGAUUCUGAUACAUUGUGAUUUCUAAGCUACUGGUUUUCUCUUUUCCUACCUUUUUCCAAUUGCAUUUCAGAUGUUUUUCCUAUUUUCCUUCUCUGCUAUUUUGGAAUUUCUUUUGGUACACAUUUUUCAACAUUGUAUAGUGAAGAUCGGUUAGUGGUAUCCAAGUUCCCUCACCCCUUUCUCCAGGAGGACCCACAAGUAUUCAGGACUGUUGAAUGACAGGUUACCUAUAGGUAAAAAAUCAGAGAAACUUUCAUUCUGCUCCCCGAAACUCUGAAAGUUCUAAUCCUUCCUCUUUCUAACCAUCUUCCUCAUCAGGUUGUAUUCCCACUCUACCUUCCUUUUUCUUUUUCCAGUUCCAGUUUUAUUUGUUCUUUUGAAGCCAGAGAAAACAGCCCUACAAGUUUGCCUAUAAGAACGAUCUGGAGAUUGCUUCAAGAUGGAGUAGAAGGACGUGCGCUCACUCCCUCUUGUGAGAACACCGGAAUCACAACUAACUGCUGAACAAUCAUUGACAGGAAGACACUGGAACUCACCAAAAAAGAUACCCCUCAUCCAAAGACAAAAAGCCACAAUGAGAUGGUAGGAGGGGUGCAAUCACAAUAAAACUAAAUCCCAUAAUCGCUGGGUGUGUGACUCACAAACAGGAGAACAGUUAUACCACUGAAGUCCACCAACUGGAGUGAGGGUUCUGAGUCCCAUGUCAGGCUUCCCAACCUGGGGGUCCAGCAACAGGAGGAGGAAUUCCCAGAGAAUCAGACUUUGAAGGCUAGUGGGAAUUGACUGCAGGACUUUGACAGGACUGGGGGAAACAGAGACUCCACUCUUGGAGGGCACACACAAAGUAGUGUGUGCAUCAGGACCAAGGUGGCAGGAGCAGUGACCCCAUAGGAGACUGAACCAGACCUACCUGCUAGUGUUGGAGGGUCUCCUGCAGAGGUGGGGGGUGUCUUUGGCUCACUGUGGGGACAAAGACACUGGCAGCAGAAGUUCUGGGAAGUACUCCUUGGUGUGAGCCCUCCCAAAGACCACCAUUAGCCCCACCAAAGAGCCGGCUAGUCUCCAGUGCUGGGUCGCCUCAGGCCACACAACCAACAGGGACGGAACUCAGCCCCACCCAUCAGCAGAUAAGUGGAUUAAAGUCAUACUGAGCUCUGCCCACCAGAGCAACAUCCAGCUCUACCCACCACCAGUCCCUCCCAUCAGGAAGCUCGCACAAGCCUCUUAGAUAGCCUCAUCCACCAGAGGGCAGACAGCAGAAGCAAGAAGAAUGACAAUCCUGUGGCGUACGGAACGAAAACCACAUUCACAGAAAGAUAGACAAAAUGAAAAGGCAGAGGACUAUGUACCAGAUGAAGGAACAAGAUAAAACCCCAGAAAACAACUAAAUGAAGUGGAAAUAGGCAACCUUCUAGAAAAAGAAUUCAGAAUAAUGAUAGUGAAGAUGAUCCAGGACCUCGGAAAAAGAAUGGAGCCAAAGAUCAAGAAGGUGCAAGAAAUGUUUAACAAAGAUCUAGAAGAAUUAAAGAACCAACACCUAGAAGAAUUAAAAAACAAACAGAGAUGAGUAAUACAAUAGCUGAAAUCAAAAAUACACUAGAAGGAAUCAAUAGCAGAAUAUAUGAGGCAGAAGAAUGGAUAAGUGACCUGGAAGACAGAAUGGUGGAAUUCACUGCCAUGGAACAGAAAAAAGAAAAAAGAAUAAAAAGAAAUGAAGACAGCCUAAGAGAUCUCUGAGACAACAUUAUAAACGCACCAACAUUCGCAUUAUAGGGGUCCCAGAAGAAGAGAGAAAGAAAAGAUCCGAGAAAAUAUUUGAAGAGAUUAUAGUCAAAAACUUCCCUAACAUGGGAAAGAAAAUAGCCACCCAAGUCCAGGAAGUUCAGAGACUCCCAGGCAGGACAAACCCAAGGAGAAACAUGCCAAGACACAUAGUACCCAAAAAUUAAAGACAAAGAAAAAUUAUUAAAAGCAACAAAGGAAAAAUGACAAAGAACAUACAAGGGAACUCCUGUAAGGUUAACAGCUGAUUUCUCAGCAGAAACUCUACAAGCCAGAAGGGAGUGGCAUGAUAUAUUUAAAGUGAUGAAAGGGAAGAACCUACAACCAAGAUUACUCUACCCAACAAGGAUCUCAUUCAGAUUUGACAGAGAAAUCAAAAGCUUUACAGAGAAGCAAAAGCUAAGAGAGUUCAGCACCACCAAAUUAGCUCCACAACAAAUGCUAAACGAACUUCUCUAAGUGGGAAACACAAG